GCCGAAAUAGCUCAGUUGGGAGAGUGUCAGACUGAAGAUCUGAAGGUCCCUGGUUCAAGCUCGGGUUUUGGCA